AUCGAACGCUGGCGGCAUGCCUAACACAUGCAAGUCGAACGGGAACUUCGGGUCUAGUGCUGCAUUGGUGAGUAACGCGUGGGAACCUGCCCUUAGGUUCGGAAUAACCCCCCGAAAGGGGUGCUCAUAUCGGAAAAUGUCCUCGGACCACAGAUCGAUCCACGUUGGAUGGGGCCGACCUGCAUUAGCCAGUUGGUAGGGUAAACGCGUACCAAGGUGACAAUCCAUAGCUGGGCAGAGAGAAUGAGCAGCCACACUGGGACUGAGACGCGGGCCAGACUCCUGCAGGAGGCAGCAGUGGGUAAUAUUGGACAGUGGGCUGUAGCCUGAUCCAGCAAGGCCUCGUGAGUGAUUAAAGCCUUAGGGUUGUGAAUCACUUUUACCCGGUAGGAUAUUGACAUUACCGGGAGAAUAAGCUCCGGCUAACUCCGUG
rnacentral:rRNA from 1 species